UCGAUCAUUUUCUCUGCCUGC
rnacentral:siRNA from 1 species